CGGUGCUCCUUGGGGUGCGCAGGGCCCCCCCAGUGUCCCCCAGUUUUGGGGAGGGGGCACGGUGCCUGCGGACCCCCAUCCAACCCCCAUCCCAAAAUAGGGGGUCCCCAUCCCACCCCACAACUCGUGUCCUGGGGUCCCCAUCUGACCCCACACCCCAACAUUUGGGGUCCCUGUCCUUUCCUGCACCCCAAAACAGGGGACACCCAUCCCACCCCACAUCCCGAGAUUUGGGGUCCCAAUCUGACCCCACACCCCACACCCUGAGGUCCCCAUCUGACCCUGUACCUCAAAACAGGGGAUCCCCGUCCCUUCCUGCACCCAAAAAUAGGGGAUCCCCAUCCCACCCCUCAUCCCAAGAUUGGGGGUCCCCAUCCCACCCCACACCUCAAGAUUUGGGGCCCCUGUCUCACCCCAUAGCCCAAGAUAGGGGGUCCCCAUCCCACCCCACACCCCAAAUCUCGGGGUCCCCAUCCUUUCCUGCACCCCGAGAUUUGGGGUCCCCAUCUCACCCCAUAGCCCAGGUCCCAGGGUCCCUAUUGUGUCCCGCAUCCCAACAUUUGGGGUCCCCAAAUGCACCCCAAAAUAGAGGGUCGCCAUCCCUCCCCACAUCCCAAGAUUUGGGGUCCCCAUCUGUCCCCAAAUCCCAAAACCUGGGGUCCCUAUCUGACCCCAUACCUCAAAAAAGGGGAUCCUCAGCCAUUCCUGUACCCCAAAAUAGAGGGUCCCCAUGCUGCCCCAUAUCCCAUGAUUUGGGGUCCCCAUCUCACCCCAUAGCCCAGGUCCCAGGGUCCCCAUUGUGCCCCACAUCCCAAGAUUUAGGGUCCCCGUCCCUCCCUGCACCCCAAAAUGGAGCGUCCUCAUCCCAUCCCCCAUCUCAAGAUUUGGGAUCUCCAUCUCUUUCUGCCCCCCAAAAUAGGGGGUCCCCAUCUCACCCCACAUCCCAACAUUUGGGGUCCCCGUCCUUUCUUGCACCCCAAAAGAAGAGAUCACCUUCCCGCCCCUCAUCCCAAGAUUUGGGAUCCCUGUCCCACCCCAUAGCCCAGCAUUUGGGGUUGCCACCUCUUCCUGUACCCCUAAAUAGGAGAUCCCCAUCCCACCCCACAUCUCAAGGUUUGGGGUCCCCGUCCCACCCCACAGCCCAAGAUUUGGGGUCUCCACCCCUUCCUAUACCCCAAAAGAGAGAGUCCCCAUCCCACUCCAUAGUCCAGGUCUUGGGGUCCCCAUCAUGUCCCACAGCCCAAGAUUUGGGGUCCCCGUCCCUCCCUGCACCCCAACGUUCGGGGUCCCCUCCCCACCCCACUUCUCAACAUUUGGGGUCCCCAACCCACCCCAUAGCUCAGGUCCUGGGGUCCCCAUCCCACCCCUUAUCCCAAGAUUUGAGGUCCCCAUCUGAACCUGAACCCCAUACCUUGCAGUCCUCACCCUACCCCACACCUCAGGAUUUGGGGUCUGCUCCCCACCCCGUACCCCAAAACAGGGGGUCACCAUCCCACCCCACACCCCAUAUCCCAGAAUCCCCAUCCCACCCCACACCCCAAAACAGUGGGUCCCCAUCCCACCCCAUACCCCAAAUCAUAGAGUCUCCAUCCGACCCCAUAUCCCACAUCCUGAGGUCCCCAUCCCUUUCUGCAUCCCAAACCAGUGGGUCCC
ensembl:lncRNA